GUCUCUUGUUGCGCAGCCGGAGUUAAGUCUCUUUUGGGCCUCUGUUCUGGCCUGUCAGGUUUCUUAGCAGCUGCCUCCCUUCAGGGUUACCCGACCUAUGGAGGGCGCUGAUGUAGUGACCGUCGUUUCACUGUUGCUGUGCCAGGGUUUUCUUCCCUCUCGGUGGUGUGGGUGUCGGUUGGUAAAGUCCCGUGCUCCGUGGGC